rnacentral:rRNA from 1 species
CCUUUUUUGGAGAAGCCUUCGGGUGGAAAUUAGGAAAGGUUAGUGGCGGACGGGUGAGUAACGCGUAGAUAAUCUACCUUAAAGACUGGGACAACAGUUGGAAACGACUGCUAAUACCGGAUACGCUGCACAUAGGGCAUCCUAGGUGCAGGAAAAGAGGCCUCUUAACAAUGCUCCUGCUUUUAGAUGAGUCUGCGUCUGAUUAGCUAGAUGGUGGGGUAAUGGCUUACCAUGGCGACGAUCAGUAGUCGGCCUGAGAGGGUGACCGGCCACAUUGGGACUGAGACACGGCCCAAACUCCUACGGGAGGCAGCAGUGGGGAAUCUUCCGCAAUGGGCGAAAGCCUGACGGAGCAACGCCGCGUGAUCGAAUGAAGGCCUUCGGGUUGUAAAGAUCUGUUGACAGGGACGAAUAAGCAAUGCGAAUAGUUUUGUGUAUGACGGUACCUGUUUAGAAAGCUCCGGCUAACUACGUGCCAGCAGCCGCGGUAAUACGUAGGGAGCAAGCGUUGUCCGGAAUUACUGGGCGUAAAGGGCGCGUAGGUGGGCGCUUAAGUCAGGUGUGAAAACUCCGGGCUCAACCUGGAGACUGCACUUGAAACUGGGUGUCUUGAGGGCAGGAGAGGAAAGUGGAAUUCCUAGUGUAGCGGUGAAAUGCGUAGAUAUUAGGAGGAACACCAGUGGCGAAGGCGACUUUCUGGACUGUACCUGACGCUGAGGCGCGAAAGCGUGGGUAGCGAACGGGAUUAGAUACCCCGGUAGUCCACGCCGUANACGAUGAAUACUAGGUGUAGGAGGNAUCGACUCCUUCUGUGCCGCAGCAAACGCAAUAAGUAUUCCGCCUGGGGACUACGGUCGCAAGACUAAAACUCAAAGGAAU